CUCACAUUCUUCUUUAUCUUUAGUAUAAAUCCUUACAAACCAUGUAAAAAGAGUCGCUUUUCUCAAGAUGGUUAUUUUAGAGGACGUUGAAGAUCUGAAGAGGCUUUGGUGAAGAAACUGAUCCUUUGGCUGGAGUCGAUGACAGUGUAUCAAGCAAAUGUGAGGCCAAGUUCAAGCACAACCAUCCAUUCCUCAAAUAUCUACGACCUCUUCCAACAAAAGCAGGAAUGGUCUUCUAGCCCGGUCAGCUGUGUUCAGGUUAAAGCGGUGUUGUUGGGUGACCUCAGGUCAGCAGAGAAAAACUUGCCCAUAUCAGUUCUGUAUUUCAAACUUAGUCAUUAUGUUAGUUCUUUGUUAACUUGGUGAUUGCCACAGUGCGUUGAAAUGGAAUAAAACAUCAUAGCUACUACAUGAAUAACAAUCAGAGGUGGAACAUAGAGAAAUCUGAACUUCCAAAUACUUAGUGGUGAUCAAAUAUUAAAGACUGAAACUCAGCCAUGUUCUUAAAGCAAACUUUAUGGGAAAGGACAGGAGUAGGGGAGUAUGUUGUUCUUGAUCUUAAAGAAUCUGUUCUAACUUAUAAAAGCGUAAGAAUAUAAAGCUUGAAGGGUUUUUCAUGUCCUUAGUCUGAAAUCAGAUUCACCUCCAGCCCUUGCAUGUAUUUGAAGUUGGUGUGGGUUGAGGUGAACACCUGGCUAUUUUAGAAAGGUUUUAUUCCCCUCACCCAUUGUGAGCUUUCCCAUUCCCUAAAGCCUUCUCUUUAGUUACCACCUUGGUUUCAAUUCUUUUGAGUCACUGAAGCUCAUUGAAAACCAAAAGGGCAGCAGAAACCUUGAGGGAUGUUCAGUUUUUAAACCUGAAUAUCACAUGCAUAGGAGUAAGGUGUGGCACUUGGUAAACUAAAUACUGCUUUUGUGAUUGAAAAAAAUAGAUAAAUUGGCAAAAUGGACUGAGGAAUCUGCUUAGUUACAUUAUUAAAUGAAGAGGAUAAAAAGCCCUACAUGGUUUGACAAAUGUUGAUGUUAACACUGAGUCUCAAUCAAUGCAAUGAAUACUAGCUAUAAAGUGAAUCACUAGUGACCUACAUUACAGUUGUGGAUUAAAUCCUUUCUUAGAACCUACCAUGUCUGUUGUGAGUUAUUGUAUAGGAGGAGAAUCUGGUCUAAACUUUCUAUACUAAUUGUACUUUAUUCAUUGUUUUGUUUUCCAGUUUAUCCAUGCCAGUUUACAUUAAUAUUGUGGAGAAUUGUACUUUGCAGUAUGCUCAUGCUAAGAUUAGCAACACAGCAUGCCAGAGUGCUGUGCCUUGCCAGGUACUUACAGCCAGGUUACACUUGUGGCUCAGGGACUGCAUAUCUUUUAAAAUAGGACACUGAGUGAGGAUGGCUACGGUAUUUGAAACUGUUCACGGGUGUGGAGAAAUUGCUUUGUCUGCAGAGACUGUUUCUGUACAUUUCAGCUGUAAUGGCCAUUACAUAAGCCCAGCACUUCUAAAUAUUUCUAAUUGGUGCCCUGUGUAAAUAAAAGCA